GACAGAGGGUGCAAACGUUGUUCGGAAUUACUGGGCGUAAAGCGUGUGUAGGCGGCCUAGAAAGUCGGAUGUGAAAGCCCAGGGCUCAACCCUGGAAGUGCACUCGAUACUGCUAGGCUUGAGUCUCGGAGAGGUUGGUGGAAUUCUUGGUGUAGAGGUGAAAUUCGUAGAUAUCAAGAGGAACACCGGUGGCGAAGGCGGCCAACUGGACGAAGACUGACGCUCAGGUGCGAAAGCGUGGGGAGCAAACAGG
rnacentral:rRNA from 1 species